rnacentral:rRNA from 1 species
GACGAACGCUGGCGGCGUGCCUAAUACAUGCAAGUCGAACGCUUCUUUCCUCCCGAGUGCUUGCACUCAAUUGGAAAGAGGAGUGGCGGACGGGCGAGUAACACGUGGGUAACCUACCCAUCAGAGGGGGAUAACACUUGGAAACAGGUGCUAAUACCGCAUAACAGUUUAUGCCGCAUGGCAUAAGAGUGAAAGGCGCUUUCGGGUGUCGCUGAUGGAUGGACCCGCGGUGCAUUAGCUAGUUGGUGAGGUAACGGCUCACCAAGGCCACGAUGCAUAGCCGACCUGAGAGGGUGAUCGGCCACACUGGGACUGAGACACGGCCCAGACUCCUACGGGAGGCAGCAGUAGGGAAUCUUCGGCAAUGGACGAAAGUCUGACCGAGCAACGCCGCGUGAGUGAAGAAGGUUCUCGGAUCGUAAAACUCUGUUGUUAGAGAAGAACAAGGACGUUAGUAACUGAACGUCCCCUGACGGUAUCUAACCAGAAAGCCACGGCUAACUACGUG